GGAGGGGUCGCAUAGUGGCCGAUUGCGCCGGUUUCGAAAACCGGUAUGCCGCAAGGCAUCGUGGGUUCGACUCCCACCCCCUCCG
rnacentral:tRNA from 1 species